GCUAGCCGACAUUCACCUUUCCCAGACUUUGUGUAAAGCGGGAGCCUUGUGCGCUGGAUACGACCUUUUUUAUGCUUUUGUUAUAUCAGGUUCUAAAUUGCACAUACCAUUUCUUUAAAUUAGAGAAAAUUAAGCACGAUCUUGCUUAUAUACAUAUUGUUAUUUUAAGAAACAAUUUUGUUUGUCUUUUCUAUAAUAAGAACAACAAUUUACUUUUGGGUUUCGUUCUUACCUGAUUUCUGAAUUUAUGCCCAAGUCUAAUCUACUCCAAAGACAGGCAGAGCAAAAGGAGGAAUGUUUAAGCAGAAGGAGAAUUAGAUGGUGAGGAUGGAUAUGGAGACGAACUUGACGCGAAUCAUCUGCCGAGGAUGCAGAAGGAGAUUUGUUUCGAAUUGCAACAUAAUCAUCUGAUGAGGAUGGAGAAAAAGAUAUGCUUGGACUUGUGACCAAAUUUUCUGUUGCCCAUCCAAUUGUUUUGCACCUUCAAACACUUUGUUUACGUUUCUAAUAUUAAGCUGUGUUUGUUAGCCUUAUAAGGUUAUACAAUUAAAACACAAACGAAGGAGUGACCAACUUGAUUCUAGUUGUAAUCAUGGUACUCGAGUAAGGAGGGUGAAGGGCACGGAAACACCAAUGUCUUCUACAAACAUUUAGCCGGAUACAACUACUCUAUGGGAAACAUUAUGUUGUGUGUUCUAAGGCUUAUAGAGACCGGUAUUUUAUAUAUGCUAAAAGCUAGGGUUUCCAUCUAUAAAGGAAACCUUAACUUACUUUCUUAGCCUCCAAGUCAAGUAUCUUAAUCAUAUUCAAUUAAUGAUUUCAUCAAUCCUAUUUCCAAUAUAAGACACCUUAUAUAGGAUUGAUAUAAUUAAGAGAUCAAAUCACAAUCAACAUUAUUCUCCAAUA